rnacentral:rRNA from 1 species
AACGAACGCUGGCGGCAUGCCUAACACAUGCAAGUCGAACGAGACCUUCGGGUCUAGUGGCGCACGGGUGCGUAACGCGUGGGAACCUGCCCUUAGGUUCGGAAUAACUCCCCGAAAGGGGUGCUAAUACCGGAUAAUGUCUUCGGACCAAAGAUUUAUCGCCUUUGGAUGGGCCCGCGUUGGAUUAGCUAGUUGGUAGGGUAAAAGCCUACCAAGGCGACGAUCCAUAGCUGGUCUGAGAGGAUGAUCAGCCACACUGGGACUGAGACACGGCCCAGACUCCUGCGGGAGGCAGCAGUGGGGACUAUUGGACAAUGGGCGAAAGCCUGAUCCAGCAAUGCCGCGUGAGUGAUGAAGGCCUUAGGGUUGUAAAGCUCUUUUACCCGGGAUGAUAAUGACAGUACCGGGCGAAUAAGCUCCGGCUAACUCCGUG